rnacentral:lncRNA from 1 species
AAAGAGUUCACAUCAGGCAUUACUUAAAAAUGAAUGGCAUUUCGUAUGUUCUUAUUUUCUUCUUGAUUCAUGGGUUGCUUCUUUCACAUACUACUUACAUGGCAAAAGCCACUGAUCAAUUUGUUUCAAAGUUUCCUUUGAAUGAAAUAUCUUCACAAGUUAUUAGUUAUCAUAUGUUGAAGGUGGUGCCCCAAAGGUCCCUAAGAGUAAAAUUUUCACGACCAACUCCGCCGAAGAGAAAUAAUCCUCCUCGUUGGUAUCGUCCUCCACCGAUAAAACGAUCACCGCCACCGCCUUCACUGAAAUGACAACUACCACCAUAAGAUAUAAGCAAUGAAAUUGCUUAUAGUGAUUAUCUUCCAUUUUCAAUUUUUUUUAAUAUAUGAUGUUAAAAUUAUCCUUAGAAUGAUGUAUUGUAAUUAAAUUAUGCAUGUUAUUGCCUGAAACAUCUAUUGUUGCGAGACAAUCAGAUCGCGGAAUAUGCUUUAGCUAAUUAUCUGGUACUCUUUUAUUAUGUUAAUAAAUUUUCACUCCUAGUCGAGGAUUUAAAAAAAAAAACAGAAAAUUACCUGAAACAACUACUUGAUUGAAAAUCGAU